rnacentral:rRNA from 1 species
GAUGAACGCUGGCGGCGUGCCUAAUACAUGCAAGUCGAGCGAACAGACGAGGAGCUUGCUCCUCUGACGUUAGCGGCGGACGGGUGAGUAACACGUGGAUAACCUACCUAUAAGACUGGGAUAACUUCGGGAAACCGGAGCUAAUACCGGAUAACAUGUUGAACCGCAUGGUUCAACAGUGAAAGACGGUCUUGCUGUCACUUAUAGAUGGAUCCGCGCCGCAUUAGCUAGUUGGUAAGGUAACGGCUUACCAAGGCAACGAUGCGUAGCCGACCUGAGAGGGUGAUCGGACACACUGGAAGUGAGACACGGUCCAGACUCGUACGUGAGGCAGCAGUAAGGAAUCUUCCGCAAUGGGCGAAAGCCUGACGGAGCAACGCCGCGUGAGUGAAGCAGGUCUUCGGAUCGUAAAACUCUGUUAUUAGGGAAGAACAAAUGUGUAAGUAACUAUGCACGUCUUGACGGUCCCUAAUCAGAAAGCCAAGGCUAACUACGUG